AGGCCCGUAACGUGUAACCUACACUAGAUUCUCUGUAUAUAUCUCUCUAUAUACUGUGAUCCUUCUUUUUUUUUGCUUCGUACAUUGCGAGUGUGUGUAUGUGUGCGUGCUUGUGGUGCUGGAAGGCCUUUACUUAGAUUGGCGCCUGCCACCCUCCCACCCACCCACCUCACCCCGCCUUUUUGGCAUCUUUCAUCUCCCCCUCCCCGCCUCUCGGCGUCUCCGCUGUCUUCCUUCCUCUUUCUCUCUUUGGCCUUCGGUGCUCGAGCACGUGCGCCUGCGUGACCGAGUGCGUCUGUGUGUGCGCUGCCGGUCUCCUCUGUGGUAUUUGGUACCUACACACGCACCAGCGCAUCAUCUACAAGUGAGCUGCAGCGGUAACCACACGAGAAGACAAGCGGCUGGGCAAGCGGGAGCGUGAACGGAACUAAACGAGUGCGAGGAAGAAGUGACAAGAGAGCAGCGGAGAUCACGACAACCGCCACCCUGUUGUUCGCCUCCACACACACAAAUACACACACACCGCCCCUCACGUCUCCUCGUCCCACCCGCCGACGCACACGCUCUUCUCUUGCGCUCCUAGAGACUCGCUUCUCUUUCUCUCUAUCCACAACUGUCGUUGUGUCGUUUUUUUUUUUUCGCACUUCCGUCCUGCCACACGGCUGCACCACCCACCAACCACCACACACCACCCGUGUGUUGUUUGGUGUUACUUGUUUCUACACGCACGCCAUUCAUAGAGCACAUCUCCGUAACUUCUCCUGUACACAUCUUUCUUUCCUUUGCUUCUUCUUUGGUUCUCCGAUACAUUGCGGUCUACCAUCCUCGGCGCGACCUCUCCUGGUCCUCACCUUCCGCGCCAACCCUUCGCAUCCCUCUCACUCAGAUCGUCGUCUCUGUCGGUUGCGCGGUGGUAUUCCGUUGCAUCUUCCUGUUCUUGUUUCCCUUACUUUGACUCAUUUUUCCGCUCUCCUGGUGUCUCGCUCCAGUGUUGGUCGUUGUACAUUUUUCAUAGUACCACACACACACACGCACGCACACACACACACGCACACCUCUCCCCACUCUCUCCCAGGCGUGUCAAGCUCUUCCUUCUGUUUGUAAACAGGCGCCCUUCCUUGUGUUUUGUUUUCCUUCCUUCUUUCCGAACUCCCCGCACACCUUCAUAGAUCUUGAUUCUCCUCCUCCCUCCCCCCUCCCCUCUCUCUUUCUCGCACACGCACAACCGCACGCGCGCACCCAGUCCGCACCUUGCCACACCGCCCAUCAUCCCGUUGCUUCCUUCGAAACAAGCGUGUGUGUGGGCGCGCUCUCCUCUCUUCUUUUCGCUGUUCUCCUUUUGUUUCGGUUUCUUCCGCAUCUCCUCUGUCCUCUCCGUCUCACGCGGAUCGCACAGACGCUCAGGCCUCUCUCGGCCCUCCUCCUACUCUCGUCUCGUGUGCUCGCUGUUCGUGGUGUGCUUUCCAUUUUGUUCCGGUGUUUUGGCCGCUCGCCCAGCCCCACUCACCCCUCCUCGCUGACCGUGUGUAGGGGCACAUCACGAACGGAUUCUUGCUGGCGCUGCUCUCGCUCGCCUCCACAAUAAAUGUUUCGUUACUUUACGUCGUCCUCCUCUGCGGCGCGGCAGAAAGCCGUGCAGCUCGCCGUCUGCGCCCAUCUUCGCACCAGUGCUGCGGUUCUGCACUCAGCCGCCGCCCACGCGUGCGCAUCGUCAACGAUCCGCGGCUCUGCUGCCGCGGUGCCGCGCAGUGCGUUGGUGAGCGCUCAGCUCACCAGCAUGCGGUGGCAGUCCUCCCCCUCCUCCACGCCGCCAAAGCCGGAGGGUGGCAAGAGGCGUGGACGACCACCGGGCCGCAAGACACGCCGGUCCACUUCCGCAACAGCAGCCGCCGACACAAGGAUGGCGGUGAGCGAUGUCUCCCGCACAGAAACAGACGCCGCUCUGGAUCAAGCAGUGGCCUCCGUGGCGCAGAAGAUCUUCGCGGGCUCUGCCGAACCAAUGCCAGCAGCACCAGCACCUUUUCCAGAAACUAGCGCCUUGAACAUGCCUGACGCAACCCCCCUCACGGCACAGGUUACCAAGCUCGUGGAACCGCCGACGGCUGCUGCCGUCGACGCUUCCGUGGAGACUUCCAGGCAUGCCGGUGCCACCGCGACACCGGCGAGCUCGUCCGCUCCAUCGGUCGGCAAAGCAGCUUGGGAAGAAGAGCGGCCGAAGACCAACGUAGCAGCUACGCCGGAUGUGAUGGCGAAGCCGAAGAGGUCAGCAGGCCGACGACGCACGCAGCGGGAGACGGCUACACCAACACCAGCAGUCGUCACAGCCGCUGAGGCGUCGGUGGCGCCAGCGAACCCCGCCGCCGACGCGUUCCGCGAGAGCCUUGACGAGGAGUCCUUCUUCUCGUCACUCCUCCAACCAGGCAAAGGCGACUCCAGCAUUGCAGAGCCGAGGGAGUCGACUCUCGUGUACAACGCUCUCACCGGUCGCAUGACGAGCGAGACGUCGGUGACGAUGCAAUGCCUGCGCGAACUCGGCUUUGGCGUCAACGACCAGCGCCAGGUGAUCAUGAAGCAUCCAGAAGUGCUGAACGCGCUUGCCGAGCGGGUACGCGCCGGAACGUCGGCGCUGCCGACGAAGUGGCCCGUCACUGUCGCCCGCGUCAUCAGUGCGGUGGUUAUGAACAGUAACAUAAGCGAUCCGGCGAAGGCGCUCGAGCAGAUGAUCCAGGUGAAGACAAACAGCGUCAUGCGCAGCCGCUACACCUCCGUUGUGUCCGCGGUGAACAGCGACCUGGACGCCGCCAUGGCGGAGACGACGGCGGCGGAGCAAGCAGGCAUGAAGGGCGGGCACGAUCCGGAUCAGGCGAUCGAGCUCAACGACGAGCAGAAGCGCGUCAUCGAUAUCGCCCUGCGAGGGCACCACUUGUACAUCGGCGGCAGCGCCGGCACCGGCAAGACAGUGCUUCUGCGUGCCGUGGCGCGUCGCCUGCAAGGCCACCGCCUACGCGUUGCGAUGACCGCCACUACGGGCGUAGCUGGGUGCCACAUUGGCGGCUCGACCUUCCACCAUGCCCUCGGCGUCACCUCCCGUGGCGAGUUCAUGCGACGCAGCAUCAUCCUCGACUACGACGUCAUCAUCAUUGAUGAGGUGUCCAUGUUCCCGCAAAGCCUCUUUGAGGAAUUUGACCGCGUUCUGCGCGAGGAGGCCGGCACGCCUGAUCUGCCGUUCGGCGGAGUGCAGAUCAUCCUGUGCGGUGACUUCCUCCAGCUCGGCUGCAUCAACGAAAAAUCGCUCAUUGGCUCACCAGUUUUCCACAAGAACUUUGUGAAGAUCCGUCUCGAGACGCAGGUGCGGCAGACCGCCAACUCCCAGUUCGCGAACGACCUGCAGCUCAUGCGUCUGGGUAUCGUGCCGAGCGAUCUCCAGACGACGGUGCAGCUACUGCCGCCGGGAACCAUGGUCGACUCCGCCGUGAAUCUGCUGCCGACGAACAAGGAGGUGCAUGCAGCCAACGAGCGACAGCUCCAGGAGCUGCCAGGGGACCCGCUGACGCUCACGCCAGAGACCGGCAUCACUUCCCUCCAGUGCGAAACGACGGCGACGCUGCUGCUGCGCACGACGCCGGAUUUCAACGAGGCCGAGUUUGCCCGCCACACCCGCUCUCUACUGCAGGCCACCCUUGACCUGCCCCGCGCCUCCCUCCUCUCGCUCUACCGUGUGUACGAAGACGGUCACGUGAUGCGCGUCAUGCUGCCACCUGGCGAGUCCGUCGCGUGGCGCGACGCGAUGCGGGAGCGAUUCCUCGAGAUUGCUGGUCUGCUGAACGACCUGGAGCUUGGAGCCACGGUGACGGAGAUCAUCCCGAACGGAGACGGCCUGCACACGCCUGAGACAGAAGACUACCUGCACAAGGUUAUGUCGAAGCACCCGAUCGCGCAGCCGCUGACACUCAAGAAGGGUUGCCGCGUUCUUCUGCGUUCGAACCUCUCGAACAGCCUCGUAAACGGCAGCAUCGGCACCGUCGUAGACUUUGUGGAGUGCAAGGAGGAGUCCUUUCCCGAGUACAUCAAGACUGAGUCUGUGAGGCGCUGCAUCGACCGCUAUCGCGUGUUCUGCUUCACCGAGUGCGGCAUGCCAGUGCCAAUGGUGCCCGUCGUCCAGUUCUACAGCGGCGAGAAAAUCGCGGUGCCACCGUGGGAGUUCUCCGUUGGUGGUGGGCCAAACACGCACUUCUACAGCCUUUCGAGCGUCGCCCUGCCGCUCUCCUUAGCCUACGCCUUCACGGUGCACAAGGUGCAGGGGCUCACCCUGGUGGGUCGCGUGCACCUGGAGCUGUCCCGCAUGUGGCCGUGUGAGCAUCUGCUGUACGUUGCCAUGAGCCGCGUGCGCAACCCGGAGCAGCUGUCCAUGUCGAGCUUUACGGCAAGUAUGGUAGUGGCGAACGAAACGUGCGUCCACUUCGACAAGGCGCUGCGUGGGGCGCUACAGUUGACCGUCGCUGACAUCGCCAAGUACCCUAUCUCGGCAUGGAAGCGAUGCAACGACACCAUUUACCACCUUCGUUGCCGUGGCGCCUCGCUGCGUCGCCUGUUGGAGGGGGUGACGUCUAUGAGCGGCAGCAUAUCUCCGCUGAUGGUGUCGGGGAGCGGCAGCCCGCAGGCACACGGCAGUGCUCUCGACCGCUCUGGGGGAAGCUUCGCGUCUCGUAGUAGAAGCGACGGUGAGGACGACCAUGAGGCGCUCUCAGCUCACGAGAUGACGAGCACAAGCGACGGUAGUCGAGUGAUGGUGCGUGUAGGCAGGCACGGUAGCGGCGGUACCGGCAUGGUGGGGGAGGUCGACACUGAUGACCUGGCUUUCAACCUAGAACACCUUAGCGCCAUCCAGCAGUCGGUCCUCGUAGCGCGUCGCAUGCGUAAACUGGUGCGGCAUGUUGAGCGGGUAGCGAAGCUGACUGACGCGCGACACCGCACCAAGAGCAACGGGAAGAAUAGCAAGGGGCCAGCGGCUCCGAAAGGCUCUGCGCACGCAGCGUCAGCUGCAGCAGCGGUCGUGAGUGGCAGCAUUGAUGCGUCGAGUAGGCGAGACGGAGCGGAGGCGGAGGAGAUGGACGGUGACGAGUCUUGCGACGUUGAGCGUGCCGCCAGCGUCAUGGCAGCCUCCGUAGCAGCCGCGGCAGCGGCGUCGCCCGCCGUCUCGCUUGCCAUGGGCGAAGAGCACACGUUUUAGGCCUCCCUUUAUCUUUAUGGAUGACGACGGUGGCGCCUGCCGGGAAAGAGUCGGAAGUGGGGUGCGGAGGGUCAGUCGGCUCACGUGUUCUCCCCCGCCCCUCCCUCCACAACAUCCCCCAUUGCUCUCUCUCUCUCUCGAGGUGUGCGCGUGUAUUUGGGCUGUUGAUACCAUGGCAGGUGGUGGUGCUCCGCUGUGCUGCACCUGCGCAUGUGUAGUCGUGUAUGCGUGUGCGACCACGGUUUGGCGUUGUUUCUUUUCGGUAUUCUCUAUGUAUACAUGUGUAGUUGUUCUCUCUUCAUAGAUGCACGUCCACACACACACACACGCACACAGGGAGAGGCAGAGAGAUAAGGUCGCGACAACCAGGGCGUACGCAUGAUAGUCGCGACCACUGUUCUGCUUAUAUAUAUAUAUAUAUAUGUGUGUGUGUGUGUGUGCGUGCGUGCAUGUGUGUACUUUCUGGCGGCAAUCCAAUAUAGACGCACGGGUCCGAUGGCUGGGCAUCACGCAGAAGUGGAGCGGGCGAAAGAUGCACAGCAACCGCACGUGUGGUGAGCCCGAGACGAGGGAAAACAGUGACGACGCAGCGAUGCGCCAUGCAGGCGCAUGCGGUAACGGCAGCGUAGACAAUGUGCAUUCCUCUGUUUAUGCCUCCCUCCUUCUCCUUCGAUCUGUUUAUCCCCUGAAUCGACCCUCUUUGUUUUUUUUUCCGCGUGUCGUGUAGGUUGCGUGUUAUUCGUGCGUGUGUCUCUGUGAGCCCUUUUUGUUGUGGCGGGUGCUGCUUUAUCGCCUGGUCGCUCCCGUGCAUCCCCCCUUCUGUAUCUGUCUUUGCUGCGUAUGCAGUUAGAUGUCGCUGAGGUGUGACGACUCCGCCCCUCACCCCUUCCUCCCUCACAGUACAGCAAAGAGGGGGGAAAGAAACGAAUGCCCUUCUCUUCCGUCGCCCGCCUUCUCGCUCGCGCUCUUUGCAUGGUGUGUGCGCGCACACGCGAACACGCGCACAUGCGUAUAUACAUGUACAGAUGCGUAUGGUGCUGAUGCGCUGCCGGCGUGUGCGUGUGUGUGUGUGUGUGUGUGUUUAGUUCUCUCGUUCAUCUGUUUGCCGUGAUGCCUCCGCCCUCCCUCCCCCUCCCCACCCGUUGUAUUUCUGUGCAAUGCGCACGCCCUUGUGUGUACGUGCGUGCAUCUUCUGGUGGUUUGCCCUCCCCCUGUCUCCUCUUCGUCCCUUGGUGGCGGGGAGCUGUCUGUGACGCAAACGCAGGACAGGCCGAACGUGUGGGGGCGUGCAGCCCUGGAUCGCAAG
rnacentral:misc_RNA from 1 species